UACGGAGGGUGCAAGCGUUAUCCGGAUUCACUGGGUUUAAAGGGUGCGUAGGUGGGGAGGUAAGUCAGUGGUGAAAUCUUCGAGCUUAACUCGGAAACUGCCAUUGAUACUAUCUGUCUUGAAUAUAGUGGAGGUGAGCGGAAUAUGUCAUGUAGCGGUGAAAUGCUUAGAUAUGACAUAGAACAUCGAUUGCGAAGGCAGCUCGCUACGCUAUUAUUGACACUGAGGCACGAAAGCGUGGGGAUCAAACAGG
rnacentral:rRNA from 1 species